AACGCGAAGAACCUUACCUGGUCUUGACAUCCUUCGAAGCCGGCCCAAAAGCUGGCGUGCCCGCAAGGGAACGGAGAGACAGGUGCUGCAUGGCUGUCGUCAGCUCGUGUCGUGAGAUGUUGGGUUAAGUCCCGCAACGAGCGCAACCCUCGCCUUCAGUUGCCACGCAAGUGGAUCUCUGGAGGGACUGCCGGUGUCAAACCGGAGGAAGGUGGGGAUGACGUCAAGUCCUCAUGGCCUUUAUGACCAGGGCUACACACGUGCUACAAUGGCCGGUACAAAGCGCAGCCAACUCGCGAGAGGGAGCCAAUCGCAUAAAACCGGUCUCAGUUCGGAUUGGAGUCUGCAACUCGACUCCAUGAAGUCGGAAUCGCUAGUAAUCGUAGAUCAGCACGCUACGGUGAAUACGUUCCCGGGCCUUGUACACACCGCGAGC
rnacentral:rRNA from 1 species